GUCGUCAUUAUUUAGAGCCAAUAUAUCAUCCAAAUAUCUAAAAGUAUUGUUAAAUUUUUGUAUCAAAUGUUGUUUUGAUGGGUCUUUGCUAAUUUUAGUCAUAAAUUGUAACUCAUAACAAUACAAAAACAGGUCCGCAAUAAGUGGUGCACAGUUAGUCCCCAUUGGAAUUCCAAUAACUUGACGAUAUACGGAAUCUCCAAAGCGAAC
rnacentral:lncRNA from 1 species